GGGGUGGAGCAGCUCGGUAGCUCGCUGGGCUCAUAACCCAGAGGUCCAUGGUUCAAAUCCAUGCCCCGCUACCA
rnacentral:tRNA from 1 species